GAUGAACGCUGGCGGCGUGCCUAAUACAUGCAAGUCGAGCGAACAGAUGAGGAGCUUGCUCCUCUGACGUUAGCGGCGGACGGGUGAGUAACACGUGGAUAACCUACCUAUAAGACUGGGAUAACUUCGGGAAACCGGAGCUAAUACCGGAUAAUAUAUUGAACCGCAUGGUUCAAUAGUGAAAGACGGUUUUGCUGUCACUUAUAGAUGGAUCCGCGCCGCAUUAGCUAGUUGGUAAGGUAACGGCUUACCAAGGCAACGAUUCGUAGCCGACCUGAGAGGGUGAUCGGCCACACUGGAACUGAGACACGGUCCAGACUCCUACGGGAGGCAGCAGUAGGGAAUCUUCCGCAAUGGGCGAAAGCUUGACGGAGCAACGCCGCGUGAGUGAUGAAGGUCUUCGGAUCGUAAAACUCUGUUAUUAGGGAAGAACAAAUGUGUAAGUAACUAUGCACGUCUUGACGGUACCUAAUCAGAAAGCCACGGCUAACUACGUG
rnacentral:rRNA from 1 species